UACGUAGGGGCAAGCGUUAUCCGGAUUUACUGGGUGUAAAGGGAGCGCAGACGGCAGUGCAAGUCUGAUGUGAAAGCCCACGGCUUAACCGUGGAGGGUCAUUGGAAACUGGUCGACUUGAGUGCAGAAGAGGGAAGUGGAAUUCCAUGUGUAGCGGUGAAAUGCGUAGAGAUAUGGAGGAACACCAGUGGCGAAGGCGGCUUCCUGGUCUGUAACUGACACUGAGGCGCGAAAGCGUGGGGAGCAAACAGGAUUAGAUACCCCGGUA
rnacentral:rRNA from 1 species